GCGGGAGGGGAGGGAGGGCGGGCGGUGUGCUGGGUUCGCGCGGCCUCGGGGCCGGAGCCCGGAUACCCGCCCGCCCCAGCGCCCGCCGCCGGCCGAGCUCCGCCCCGCGCGUCUCCAUCGUGGGUCGCAGUGGUCGGAUGUGCGUCCGGGUCUGCGGGACAGGCGGGCGCAGAGGUUCCUUGUAUUGGCGCGGGUGGGUGCGGCGAGGUUCUGGCGCCUCCGCGGAGCAUCGUGGGUCUGGGGCUGUGGGCGCCGCGGAUUGCUAUUCUCUGCGCACUUUCCCGGCUCUGAAGCCUCGAGAACACGGCUAGGCAGCAGUAGUUUAAUGGGGAGUUUGACUGCUGGGAACUAGGGGCCUGCUGGGGUCUCAGUUCUUGGCUGGCCCCGGAACACGAGGUUGCCAGGUGUGUGACGGCAGCAGGUAGGAGUGACCCGCUGGUGCAGUGAUGAGCAAGAAAGUACAGGAAGGACAGCGGCUGUUGGCCUGUGAACCUAGGCAAGAAUGACCAGCCAACACAGUCCAGACCAAGGUCCGUGGGCCCAGCUCGGUCCUGUGCGUCUGGUCAGUGGAAUAGACCUGCAGGUGUGGCUCUUGUCACUCUAGGACUGGCUUCAGGACAGUUUUCUGUCUGCAGAUCCUGCUGAUGCGCCCAGGGCACCGCCCUCAGUUCUCCAGGAGAGCGCGCCGGAGGGGAGCCAGGGGGUGUGCCCGACUCAGCACGGUGGCCACGCACAUCCAGUCUGCUGGCAAGGGCAGUGGGCAGCCGGAGGAAGUCAUGGCCUUGGGAGUGUCCUGUGAUGAAAAAGAACCUGCAGGCUUAUCAGAUAACGUUGGUGUGGAACGUUGGUGUGCUGAAAAGCAGUUCUGUGUGCUUUUCCCCCCUGGUGUGAAUUAGCAGUGCUGAGGCAGCAAGCGGGAUACAGAAGUGUGAGCAGAGACCGUCUGGAAGCCCCAGACUCCAGGGAAACUAAAGGUGACAGCCAGCCUAGUGAAGAGGACGGGAGUUAGGGGCGGGGGCGGCAGCCCAGCAGGGGCCCCUCGUCUCAGGGCUCUAAUCCUGGCUCCAGCCGGCUGGUCAGGGAGCUGCAAGGUCUAAUGGGCGAGCAGAGUCCACAGUCCUGAGCUGUUCUUCUCUGUGUUUGGGUCAUCUCCCGCCAUCCAAGGGGAGAAAUCUAGAUGAGGUUUAAGCAUCAGUGCUUUAAGACUGUGGAUCUCGGAGUUGAAACCUCGGAAGACAUGUUUUCAGCACAGGGUGUUAAAGUGAACGGAAGGAUUCAACCCCUUUUCAAGGAGGGUGUCUCCAUGUGGGCAGAACUAGAGAAUAAAUGGGUCUUGAAUAAA